ACCUGGCUGGCUCAGUUGGUGAGAGCAUGAGACUACUGAUCUCAGGAUUGUGAGUUCAAGCCCCAUGCUGGGUA